rnacentral:rRNA from 1 species
GACAAACGCUGGCGGCGUGCUUAACACAUGCAAGUCGAACGGAAAGGCCCUGCUUUUGUGGGGUGCUCGAGUGGCGAACGGGUGAGUAACACGUGAGUAACCUGCCCUUGACUUUGGGAUAACUUCAGGAAACUGGGGCUAAUACCGGAUAGGAGCUCCUGCUGCAUGGUGGGGGUUGGAAAGUUUCGGCGGUUGGGGAUGGACUCGCGGCUUAUCAGCUUGUUGGUGGGGUAGUGGCUUACCAAGGCUUUGACGGGUAGCCGGCCUGAGAGGGUGACCGGCCACAUUGGGACUGAGAUACGGCCCAGACUCCUACGGGAGGCAGCAGUGGGGAAUAUUGCACAAUGGGCGGAAGCCUGAUGCAGCAACGCCGCGUGCGGGAUGAAGGCCUUCGGGUUGUAAACCGCUUUCGCCUGUGACGAAGCGUGAGUGACGGUAAUGGGUAAAGAAGCACCGGCUAACUACGUG